rnacentral:rRNA from 1 species
GACGAACGCUGGCGGCGUGCCUAAUACAUGCAAGUCGAGCGGACCAAAGGGAGCUUGCUCCUGGAGGUCAGCGGCGAACGGGUGAGUAACACGUGGGCAACCUGCCUGUAAGACUGGGAUAACAUCGAGAAAUCGGUGCUAAUACCGGAUAAUAAAAAGAACUGCAUGGUUCUUUUUGAAAGAUGGUUUCGGCUAUCACUUACAGAUGGGCCGCGGCGCAUUAGCUAGUUGGUGAGGUAACGGCUCACCAAGGCAACGAUGCGUAGCCGACCUGAGAGGGUGAUCGGCCACACUGGGACUGAGACACGGCCCAGACUCCUACGGGAGGCAGCAGUAGGGAAUCUUCCGCAAUGGACGAAAGUCUGACGGAGCAACGCCGCGUGAGUGAUGAAGGUUUUCGGAUCGUAAAACUCUGUUGUUAGGGAAGAACAAGUGCCGUUCGAAAGGGCGGCACCUUGACGGUACCUAACGAGAAAGCCACGGCUAACUACGUGCCAGCAGCCGCGGUAA